GUAAGAUAGAGAUGCCAGGCUGGUGACCAAGAAAGAAAGAAACACCUGGCUCUCUCACUCCAUUUUCCACCGACGCCAUCACUUCCAUCAGGGGACCCUGGGCCAGCCAGAGCUGGACUCCGGUAGUCCACCAGGACUGUGAUGGUACACAGUUUGGUAGGUGGAGAGACCAGAAGGGAUUUGCACUGAAGAUCACUUAGAACUAUAAUGAUGGAACCUUCACUGUCGUGCAGCUGCACCAUUUGGCAUAUGAGUCUUGCUCAGUGUCUAAGCAGGGGAAGAAGAAGCUUGAGGGCAAUGUGACAUUUAUUACUUUUUCUUAUAAUUCUUGUAGCCAGAUGUCAUCAUAUCACAGAAUCCUAACUACUUAACUACAGGAAAAUGUAAAAUAAACAAAAAGGUUUAGAAAGCA